rnacentral:pre_miRNA from 1 species
AAAAAGACAAACCCUGAAUUUUCAUGUCCAACGUUUAACUAUCCGUCUUAUAUAAAUUUUUUUAUAAUUAGUAUUUUAAUUGUUGUUAGAUGAUAAAACAUGAUUAAUACUUUAUGCGUGACUUGUCUUUUUAAUUUUUUCAAAUAAGACGAACGGUCAAACGUUGGACACGAAAACCAAGGGUU